rnacentral:rRNA from 1 species
AACGAACGCUGGCGGCAUGCCUAACACAUGCAAGUCGAACGAAGCUUCGGGCUUAGUGGCGCACGGGUGCGUAACGCGUGGGAAUCUGCCCUUGGGUUCGGAAUAACAGUUAGAAAUGACUGCUAAUACCGGAUGAUGUCUUCGGACCAAAGAUUUAUCGCCCAAGGAUGAGCCCGCGUAGGAUUAGGUAGUUGGUGGGGUAAUGGCCCACCAAGCCGACGAUCCUUAGCUGGUCUGAGAGGAUGAUCAGCCACACUGGGACUGAGACACGGCCCAGACUCCUACGGGAGGCAGCAGUGGGGAAUAUUGGACAAUGGGCGAAAGCCUGAUCCAGCAAUGCCGCGUGAGUGACGAAGGCCUUAGGGUUGUAAAGCUCUUUUACCAGGGAUGAUAAUGACAGUACCUGGAGAAUAAGCUCCGGCUAACUCCGUGCCAGCCGCCGCCGUAAAAC